UACGUAGGGUGCAAGCGUUGUCCGGAAUUAUUGGGCGUAAAGAGCUCGUAGGUGGCCAACUAAGUCGGACGUGAAAUCCCUCGGCUUAACCGGGGAACUGCGUCCGAUACUGGUUGGCUUGAGUUUGGGAGAGGGAUGCGGAAUUCCAGGUGUAGCGGUGAAAUGCGUAGAUAUCUGGAGGAACACCGGUGGCGAAGGCGGCAUCCUGGACCGGCAUUGACGCUGAGGCGCGAAAGCUAGGGGAGCAAACGGG
rnacentral:rRNA from 1 species